GCACUCCCAACUUUUAUUUACUGUUCUUAUGCAGAUCCGCAAAUGGAUCUCGUUUUGUAGCCUUUCAUUUCCUUCUUUCUUUUUCUUUCCUUAUCUUUUCCCCUGCUUCUCUCUCUCUGUUUGAUUUUUUCUGAAUAGAAGAAAAAUUGCAGAGCUAAAGAUAUAGCUGCAAUCUUUCUAGACUUUGUUGAGUUUGUUUGCUAAUCAGAGAAGCUCACUAGUUCAGUGGCUGUCUCUUUGCUUUUGGGAUUUUUUGUUUCAUGAUUAAAAAUAAGCAAUUCAGAGCUUAAAAAAAUUUCUGACUUUACCUCAUUUCCUCAGCUAGCAACUGGAGCUUGGGCUUUCAUCUAGAUCUGUGGAGAGUUUUUCAUGCAGUCAAUGAAAUCUUUGAACAGAAAACAGUGAUUUAUGAAUGUGGUGUUAUUGUUCAUAUCAGUCACCGACGCAUCAGAGUAUAUGGAACCAUCUCCUCAAUCCCUCUUCAGGUGACAACAUUGAGAAGAUUUUCAUAUGGAGCAGAACUGCAGAAGAGACUUGGAUCUGUAGAAGUAGAAGUAGAAGUAGAAGUAGAAGUAGAAGUAGCAGUAGAGGUAGAAGUAAAAGUACUGAUGUAUUGUAAUUAGUAUGA